GCAAGCAUAGUUUACUUAAAACAUUAGAUUGUGAGUCUAAUAAAGAAGAAUAAAACUCUUCUGCCUGCC
rnacentral:tRNA from 2 species